rnacentral:rRNA from 1 species
UACGUAGGGGGCUAGCGUUGUCCGGAAUCAUUGGGCGUAAAGCGCGUGUAGGCGGCUUGACAAGUCUGCUGUGAAAGUCCAGGGCUCAACCCUGGAAUGCCGGUGGAAACUGUCAAGCUAGAGUCCGGAAGAGGCGAGUGGAAUUCCUGGUGUAGCGGUGAAAUGCGCAGAUAUCAGGAGGAACACCGAUGGCGAAGGCAGGUCUCUGGGCAUUAACUGACGCUGAGGAGCGAAAGCAUGGGGAGCGAACAGG